AACCUCCUUAAUAUCCUUGAUCACUAUCAUACAGUGCUUAUGGACAGACUACCCCUCGUACAUCUUCAGAUUGAAGAGUCUCUUGGAUACUUCGAAGUGUGCAGUACGGCUCUACUCACCAUACAACUCUUGUAGAUGAGUGAUCAUGGCUCGAGCAGUCAGCAUAUGCUUGUGCUGGCUUUGUAACUCAUUUGAUAUAGAUGCCAGCACAUAGCACUUGACCUGACUGUCUUCAUUCAUCUGCUUCUCAAAAGUAGCUUUUUGCUUAACAGUAGGACGAUUUGGUAGCACUAUGGGAUCA
rnacentral:lncRNA from 1 species